rnacentral:rRNA from 1 species
UACGGGGGGGGCAAGCGUUGUUCGGAAUUACUGGGCGUAAAGGGCUCGUAGGCGGCCAACUAAGUCAGACGUGAAAUCCCUAGGCUCAACCUAGGAACUGCGUCUGAUACUGGAUGGCUUGAAUCCGGGAGAGGGAUGCAGAAUUCCAGGUGUAGCGGUGAAAUGCGUAGAUAUCUGGAGGAACACCGGUGGCGAAGGCGGCAUCCUGGACCAAUACUGACGCUGAGGAGCGAAAGCCAGGGGAGCAAACGGG